GAGUGCAUUAAGAGGAUACUGAGAUCUCCAGAACUGUUUCUGUGUAUUAAUCUAAACCUUGGCACAGCUAUGCGAUUUGAAAUCCUCAUUAAGACUGGGGUUUCUUUCUUGGUAGGAAGAAAAUGUUUCAGGCUGUGUUGUUCGGGGACGCCUGCUAUUCUGAGAAGGCAGCAGCCCCUCCUCCAUUCAGCAGAAAUAUUGUCAGAAACUGUGCUCUCUCCCCAGACUAACAGAAAUGAUUCUUCCAACAAGAUACACCCGCAUCUUCAUUACUCUUCUUCUCUUUACAUAGCCUGGGGAAAGGAAGUCCAGAGAGAGGUGAGUUUUAAAACAUAUCUAGAAACAUAUCUGGAGCAUCAACUAAUAAUAUGCACCCGGUUUCAAGGAGCAGUUUUUUGGAGGGUCGUGCAUGGGCUUUAGAGCAUGGAGGAAUUCAGAAACAGAGGGGCAGAAUGCCACAGUUCAGACUGAAAGCCAUUUCUCGUGGUUCCCUGUCCUCAUUCCCUACUGCCCACCCUUGCAGAAAGGAACAGCAGUAACAACAUAACAUCUAUUACUGGGAGCCUUCCAGGUUCUCGUUGUGUGUUGUUUGUUAGCGCUGUGAAGUGAGCAACGACAGUGAACGAAGGCAGACAGUCACCGUUUUCUUUCCUUUAGUUUUAUUUCAUAGGUAUGUGUAGUGGCUUAAAGCAUGACAGGAGCAGUGCUCACUCAUGGCCCCUUGUGUGGAGUGGAGACAGGAGGUCUGUAGUGUCCUAUGAUCUCCAGCUGCCACUGUGGAAGGGAGGAUCAGUGGCAAAAUUGCUGGUUUGUGUCUCACUUGCCAUCCACCAGUGCCCCCAGACUUUCUUCAGCAGGGCUGUGCUCUAUCCUUACAUCCUCCAGCCUGUAAUGAUAGUGGGGUUGCUACAAUCCAGGUGCAGAGCUUGCACUUGGACUUCUUGAACCUCAUGAGGUCCACCUGGGCCCACUCCCCUGUCUCGGUCUCUCUGGAUGGCAUCCCUUCCCUCAGGCAUGUCGGCUGCACCACACAGCUUCGUGUCAUCUGCAAACCGCUGAUGAGUUUGCAAACUCAAUCAGUGUCACUGAUGAAGACGUUAUAGAGCACUGGUCUCAGUGCAGACCCCUGAGGGACCCCACUUGUCACUGAUCGCCAUUUGGACAUUGAGCCAUAGACCACCACUCUCUGAGUAUGGUGUUGUGACCAGUUCUUUGUCCAUCCAACAGUCCACCCAUCAAAUUUCUUAUUUAGCUUCUGACCUUCCUGUGAAACUACCCCCCAUCCCCUCACUGACGACUCAAGCAAAGACAUUUAAUUCCCCAGGCUUGUGAGUGUGUCCAAGGCUGAGCAUGCCUAAAUGGGAGUGACCUCUAACUGGUUGACAUCUCCUGCUAGAAGGGAUACCUGAGAUUACAAAGCUGUGAUGCUCUCUGGAGCUGAGAUGAUAAUUAAUGUGACUAAGGUAUCACACACGUGUGAGUGAUGACUGUUCAACCACCAUGCUGAUGGCAGCUCUUUCCUUGCCUAUAAGACCUCUGGUUGGGUUUCUUCUGGGCAGACAUUUAAUAUGAAUCCCACUUUUAAUAAUGAACAAGAUAAUGGAGAAGACUGGCUGUCCCUGAGCAGAAGUCCCACUGGGGCCCUGAUGAUGAUCCCACCAGGGCUCAUGAUGCUCUAUAUAAUAAAUUGCAAGUGAAGAGUCCUUCCCACAACAUUUCUUCCUUAUUCUGAGUAGUUUGCAGACAGUUAGCUUAGGGAUUCAUUAAUUUAGCACUUCUUUGUUAGCCAAAUGCAACCUGCCUAUUGCCAUGCAAGGCUCUCCUGCAUGGCUUUUAUUGAGGAAGAAGGAAGCUGUGUGCCUGCCUCAAACACUAUGAACACAGCCAUCCAGCUGGGUUGAUUUGUCAGAGUUCAACACAGAAUCGUAGAAUGGCUGGGGAUGGAAGGGACCUCAAAGAUUUUCUAGUUCCAACUCUCCUGCCAUGUUCAGGAUUGCCCACUUCUAGGUCAAGCACUGAUCAGGCAGCUCAGGGUCCCUGAGGGACAGGUUUUUCCUGCCAAAUUGCCUUGUGCUUCCUAUGUAGAGCAGUUCCAUAAGGGAAUGGAUAACCAGAAAAGCCUGACCCAAACGCAGGACUUGCAUAGAAGACAUUUUGCUGCAGUUUAGACAUCUGAGUCCAAACAGCCAGGCUGCAACUCUUCCCUCUGCUCUUCCACGACUGCUGUCAGCCCUGGAGCUGCACACAGCCGGGCACCAUAUUCUUUGAGACUGUGCCUGCUCCUGCUCAACUCUGCUCAGUUCUGAGGAAGCCCUGGUGAUGCAGGACAGAGUGUUCCUCUACUACGGCCAUCUCUGCCCCACUGCUGCCAGCCCUGCAACACUCCCUUCGAGCAUGGCUGGAGGACCAGGGUGGUGUGGAGUCCUGGCAGCCAUUAGACAGCCAAACACAAGCCAGUUGUCUUCCUUUUUCUUGGGCAAGAUCCAUUCUGGCAGUCUACAGGAGGAAAGUGGGCUGAGUGGAGUGAUUGUUCUGUUCACCUAGGUCACCUCUCUGUUCAUUGUGACUUUUCCAUCUAACAAGCAUAAAAUUUUACCUCAAUUUAUCUGAGUCCCUCACUGAGUUGGCCUGAGCUCAGUUGCUGUCAGUGGAAAAUACUGACAUCUGAAAUACUGACUCUGAGGUUACGAAACCAAACAGCCAGCUGCUCAUGUGCUGCAUGGUGGCAAACAGCUCUCUGCACGUCUCACUCUUCCUCGUUGCUGCUCUCAUGGUUCUUCUCAGCGGGGGUCUCACGUCUUCGUUCCGGAGGAUGGUGGAGGUGGGUGUCUGGGACAGGCUGUGAUGGGCUUCUUGGAGAUGUUGCUUGAAAUCAAAGAUAGUGCAUCACAGAGAGUGGGACAUUCCAUUUACGUAAAGGGAAAAACAAAAUCAACCUGUUUUUCAGCUCUGCAUUUAGGGGAAUGGGAGAUUUCUUCUCCUCACCAGGGCUGCGGUCCAGGCUCGCACUGACUAAACCCGAGAGCAAAAAAUGCAGAAAAUCUGUGGAAAUCACCAGGCAGAAAGAGACCGCAGGAGGAAAACUGUGCAACUUUUCAUAUUUAACUUCGUUGCAAGGAACCUGCGUUAUGGGAAAUAUUUGCCAUGGUGCUAUUAAUGAAACCCGCCAAACAAAUAGUGAGUGGCUACACAGUUUUCCUGCACAUUAAUAACCAGAUAGAGCAUAAUAUUUAAUCUAAUCAUUUAGUCUGUAACGGGACUAGCUGUUCCUGUGCUUUUAAUUACAGCUUUCAUUUUAAGCUAUCUGUACAAAUUGGUGAGAUUGAUGAAGAACACCGAACGCCAUCCCUCUGCCUUGUGGCUCCACGUGCCUUUGAGCAGGAGAUCUGUUUCAUCUGGUAAAGAGCUGGGGUUCCUCUGGACAAAUAUUUCAGCCUUCAUUCCCUUUUGAAUGAACGGGCUGCAGAGAAAUCGAAACCAGCUCACAGUGGGUGCACGGCGAUGACUGCAGAGCGUUGUCUGACUCUCACAGGGCAGCAAAGAGGGUUUCAGUUUUUGGCACGUGUCUGGGAUGAGGUGGACAUUCUUCUUGUUUCUCACUGAUUAAUUCUAGUCUUACCCGCAUGCUUCUCAUGACCGAGCCUAUUGCUUCUGUUAGCGAGUGAUCUCCAGUCUGUGGCCAGGUGGCUGUGCAGUGAAUGGGAAAACCAAGAUGUCAUGUCUGUGAGCGGGAUGCAGGACUCUUGUUCAUGUUGAAAGACCCAAAAUUACUGUGUGUUGGUGCAUUGUUCACUUUGGGUUUGUGUUUUGAAUGCAGAUUUGGUUUCUGCAUUACAAAAUAAAUUACUCUCUGUGAUGAUAAACAGCACUAAGAAAAGGAUUCUUCCUAAGGCCAUUCUGCAAUAAAGACACAGAUCUCCUCCACUCUAUCAAGAAAACUCCAUUGAAAUGAGUGAUGAGUUAUCUAGCACAAUCUGAGUUUUAUUCUUUCUAUCUUCAGACAGAAAUUGGAAUUUGAAAGUCUCCAUUUACCUCUUCUGCAUUUUCCUUGUAUCUCAUGGUGGAAACCAGGUAGCCUCACAUAAGAGCUCCAGCACAGUGUGUGGCACUGGCUCAUAUAGGGUUGCCAUACCUAGCCCUGGCUAUGUAAGAAAGACAAUGUUUAGUGGACCACAGUUACUUAUGGGAAAGGAGCAUUGCAGCAAGUCGAGGCUAAAAAUGAACAAUAUUGCCUUGAAACAAAGCAGAGCGAGAUGCUGCAUCUCCUGGUACAAGUGAUGCUUUUUACAGUGAUGGGCAGAUGGGAAGCUCUUUCCCUCCCAGCAUCACUUCCCUAUCUCUCUUGGACCCCUCUGCCCCUGAAAUUAUCUCCCCUUUCCUGUCCCUCUCUUUCAGAGCUGUGUGGGGACUCAGCCAUCUCCCCAUGCCCCUCAGGGCUGUGCCCACAUGGCACACACACACACAGCCCCACAGCCGCCCUAUCCCUGUGCCAUGGCCUGGCACUGCAGCUCUCUGCAUUCGGGCAGCGCUGUUGUUUCUCUGUUUCGUUUCUGAGCGAGGCAGCCCAUGUCUACGAGGAAAUGAAAACCAGAAAGAGCAAUUUCCAGUCCUAGCAGCCCCGUCCCACAGCCCAUCUCACCCAGCCCUUGUGGGAGGUGGGUGGCUGACUCACCCCAGGCUGCUUCACUCCGGGUUAUGCUGGGGAACCUCCUGAGCCUCAUGUGCUCAUGCUGGGGUGCUGUGCCCAAAGUACUGGUGCUGGGAUGCUCUGGGCAUCACCAUGCUGGCACUGUCCUGCACCACCCUGGCAGUUGCUGAGAACUGCUGUCCUGCAGCAUCUGGAACCGGGGCAUCAGAUCUGCUCCUCCAUAGGAGGGAGAAGAUCCACUUUGAGCACAGGGUGGAUGUCAUUCUCCAGCUGUUAUUAGAAAUCAUUCUGGAGUUAAUCAAUAACCCAGGCUUGUACAUGGGGUGAGACAAGGAGCCUCCAGUGGCUGAAGGCAGAGGCAUAUUAACUCAUAUUGGACAGCACUGUCUGAGACAAAGAGUGUGAAAUUGGCUAUUGAGUGUGAAACACAGAAAGGAGGUUUUUUGAUGUAGGUCAUGAACUGGAGCAGAAAAUCUGUAUAUUUUUUUUUCCAGUUCUUUCCAUAGUUUUCAUUGUACUCACAAACACCACUCUUUCACUCUGCCCUGGAAUAAGGGCACUGAGAGAGGCUGUCAAGCAGCCUGAGUUCACACCUGUUUUGGAUCCUCAGGCCUUGCUCUGCUCAUGCACAUGAAGUUGUAGCACAUGGGAGAACCUGGGCAUUGCAUGCAAUGAAGCAGGCAGGAGCCUUGGGAUGAACACAGCACUGUGUGUCAACUUACUCUGGUCUUUGUCCCUGUUGGUUAGUUCAAAACAAGCAAACAGUGACCACCCAGCUCUUCAUCUUUGGACAAGGAACCAUUCCUGAAGUACGGUCAGGAGGUCUGUUCCAUGUGCACGCUGACCUUCCCCAUCAGUUCUGCCUAUAUACUUGGGUUUCUUCUCGAUACUGAAGUCCUAUCUGAAUGGGUUUCUACCUUCACCCAUUAAAAAAAGAUACUGGUUACAGACAGUCAAGCUGGUUUAAAUAGAACAGAAUUUGGUUAUCAUUUUAGUAUAAUACUCCCUUUACUAGAGGGGUAGAAAAAGACAGAGUCCAUGAAUGCUCAUUGAUUUUGCUGUAGCUAAUCCAAACUGAAUGAACUGAAUUUCAGGUUCACAGUGUUUUAGAUUCUGACUUUUCAAUCAGUUCUGCAAUCUGCAUGCCAACAAGACCCAGCUCAACACGCAGCUCCAGUGUUGCAUAGGAGCCUGAAAGCUCAACGGUGUGUGCUGGGACAGCCAUCCCUCUUUCCUGCAAGGCCCGUAAGAAGGGAAGUCCGUGGAGUCUUGAAAGGAAGAGUCAUCUGCAGUGACACUGCUCAAAAGCAACUCCGUAUCUUCAUGCUGGCUCUUUCUUUGCAUGCUGGGAUCCUCAAGUGCAAUGUGUGACCUACCUGGACUACUUUGGAACAAACACUGGCGCAAGAAGAGAACAUUGCAUGGGCAGAAAGUACAAGCUGUGCUCAUACAGAGUGAACUACUGGCUAUAGAAAUGUGAGUUUUGAGUGAAAGGGCUUAAAAAAUGUGCCUGUUCAAUGUGGGUAUACGGGAUGUGUCUCCAGGGCUGCCCCUGGUCUGGGGCAGAUAGACUGUGGUAGAGCAUCUCCACCUUCACCAGAUGCCAAAAUAGAGCAGAUGUGCACAGGUCAGCAUGAAGAGCUCUUUGUAAAAUGGUACGGAAAGAAGCAUGUUAUGUCCUUUUAACGGAGAGACACUGGCUUAGGUAACAGUGUUUUACUCCCUGUGGUGCUAAGCAAGUCAUAAAUCCUUGGAGAAUUGAAGUAAUAGACAUACACCCUCCCCUCUCUUCUUCCCCCUGUGACUCCACUCUUCUCCACUCCUGCAUUAAUGGAUAUUUUAAAUCUGGAAGGAAUUCAAGAGUCUGUAGUAGGUAGUUAAACAUCCAGAUGUAUCAGUAAUAAUUAUGCUCAGCUUGGGGAGGCAAGGCACUCGAAUAACAGGCAUGGUUUCCAUGGAUGGCUACAAGAUUAUAAACAUAAAAUUUAUAAGUGGAAUGGGAACAUUUGGUUUAUUUUCUCUUCUCUUUACAAUCACUGCAGUUUAAAUUGAAAACAGCGAAGGGUAGCAGAGCCAAGCAACAACCUGAAGAUUGUAAACAAAAUAAUUCAUGUCUUACUGAUGGGAUAUGGUCAUAUAAUCAGUAAAUUAAUUUAGCCUACUCUAGUUUCGCCAUUAACUUUCUAUUUUCUCAUUUCAUUGGCAUUUCCCUGCCCAGUUUAUGUCUCUCUUCAAUACAUAUUGUGCUAUAAACUAGAAGCAAAUAUCUUGAAGGGUAAAUAAAGAGGUAAUGAGUCUACAGAAAAGAUGUCAUUGAGGCACAUUAAAUCCAGGUUACUAUUUUUUAAACUUCUUGAUCCAGGAUUCCUUUUCACUCUUUGAUUGGUUUCAAAUACAGAAAUGAAAAGCCAGGAUAUUGGAUUCUUACACUGUGUCCUUAGUACCCAAUGGCACACAACGUUUCCCUGAGACAAGACAAGUAUUUACGACCCAGAAAGGAAUGGAAUGCUCACAAACCCGAGGGCAUGAAAUCAGGGUGACUCAGAACAGAAGCUGGAAAAUCGCUUCAAAAGGUCUUCCUCUCCAUCUCGGGCAGUUGCUGAUCUAAUCCAUGGGCUGGCAAGAGAGAAGCCAGUAAUUCAUGUUGAUUUAAAACCAACCUUGCUACAAAACGAAGCAGACACCUGAUAUCCAUGUGCAAAACCUGUUUGUGCAGUAGCACAUCUGUGAGCGUGUGCGAUUAGUGCAAUUAGAUAGCAAUUUAUAUGUAAAUGCCCAUCCAGUCAAAUGUGCCUUUACUUAAUUUGUGUAUGCACUGGAAUAUAAUUCCAGAGGGUUUUUCUACAUUUUUAAAAUCUGCCCCUUAAUAAUUGAACACAAGCAUUCUCACGAUGUGAACCAUAUUUUAAUCAGCAGCUUGCAUUGCUGUGACACUGCGGAGCAGGGGAUGGUGAGGGGCUGGGACAGGGAGCACGUCCCUGUGCUUGGCCAGAGCUGCUCCAUCGUGGGUCAGGGGACUUGGCUGAGCUGCUCUCUCCUGCUUGCUCUGUGAGAUGAGCAAGCCCAGUCCUUUGCGGGCUGUAAGAAGGAGGAAGACAGACUCUUUGGCACCGUCUUUUGUGAUAAGACAAGGGGAACUGGUUUCAAACUAAAGGAGGGGAGAUUUAGAUUGGAUAUAAGGAUGAAGUUUUGUUACGAUAAGGAUGGUGAGGCACUGGCACAGGUCGCCCAGAGAGGUGAUGGAUUCACAGUCCCUGAAGACAUCUAAGAUCAGGCUGGACAGUGUUCCUGAGGUGGAUAAGAUGACCUUUAAGGGUCCAUUCUAACACAAACGAUUCCAUGAUUCUAUGCCCAAACCUAUCCAUAUGUAUCCCAUGGGUUGACCCAGCACCAGGAGACACCCUAUUACCUGAGUGCUGCCCUAUGUGUGCCAGCUAUGUCUGGCCACCCCUGCCACCAGAGAAUUCAGGGUCAUUUCAGGUCCCCAGUGAUGUGCUCAUCAUCUGUCAGCACAAAACAGGAGCUCUAAUGGGUUGAAGCUGGGUCAGAUCUGGGCUCUGAUCUUCCCCAAGAGUAAAGUUUGGGUGGUUAAGCUAGGAGCUUGUGCAGAGAGAGAUGACUCAUAGGCCACUGAUAUUCUGAGAAAGACUUUGCUGUUUCUCAGGAUUCAAGCCUUGACUCUGACCCAUUGUUCAUAGGUGGGUAUCCAUUCCUCAUUCAAAAACAAAUUACACAGUAGUCCUCCUUAGUCUCCUUACAAGAACAAGACAACCUCAACUCUCCAGGUGCAGGAAGACCUCGUCAACCUCAAACUCUCUAUCCAUCCCAGCCUUUGCCAGAUGAGAAAUUUGGGUUGGUGAAACAUGUAGGGCCAAGAUAAUUAGUAGGGCCACAAUAAUAAGAGUGGGGUACGUGAGUACAACAUGACCUCUUCUCCCCAUGAAGGAUGGACUACGAUGCUGAAGUCUGAAUGCAAAGAGUACAAGUAGCAGUUGUUUGAGCACAGCACGGACACAGGUUUACCAGAAAGUGGGUAAAUCUUAAUAGCAGGAAUAUUUUAACUGUUCAGCAUGUAAACAGCAUUCUGGGCUGAUCUGAUCAAUGCUGCUUUGCAGACUACAUUUGGUAUGGGGCCAUAUAUAGUGUUCCUGGAGUUUUAUUUAAUAGGACGGCACAUUUGAUCCUAAUGUGCCAUCUCAGAAGUAAUGAAGCAGAAAAGAUCUUUAUCUUCUGUGAAAGUUGCAGUUAUUGGCAUCCAUUCAGAAAAAAAAAAAUAAAAGUAAUUGCACAAUCUUCA